CAGCAGCCACGGUAAUACGUAGGGCGCGAGCGUUAAUCGGAAUUACUGGGCGUAAAGCGUGCGCAGGCGGUUGUGUAAGACAGGUGUGAAAUCCCCGGGCUUAACCUGGGAACUGCGCUUGUGACUGCACAGCUAGAGUAUGGCAGAGGGGGGUGGAAUUCCACGUGUAGCAGUGAAAUGCGUAGAGAUGUGGAGGAACACCGAUGGCGAAGGCAGCCCCCUGGGCCAAUACUGACGCUCAUGCACGAAAGCGUGGGGAGCAAACAGGAUUAGAUACCCCUGUAGUCCCUGUCUCUUAUAC
rnacentral:rRNA from 1 species